GGGUCUGUAGCUCAGCUGGUUAGAGCACCGUCUUGAUAAGGCGGGGGUCGUUGGUUCGAACCCAACCAGACCCACCA
rnacentral:tRNA from 65 species